ACAAAAGUGAACACUUGGCUUGUAAUCUUACGUGAACAACAGCCCCCGGGAUUCCAGGAAGCUAACUGUCCUAGGGCAAGGGAGGCUUACAGCCCCAUGAAAGAUAUUUUGAUAGGAGAAUCCUGUAGUGUGUAGUUUCAGUCCUCACGGAGAAGCGGACAGGAAAGUGAAAAUGGAGAACAUGGAUGAGAGUCGAUCCAGUAGGAGGCGCUGUUGAGAGGGACGGCGAUGAUGAAGAAAGGCCGCAAAUAGGAAAAGUCAGCGAUGAAAUUGCAGAAGAAAAAUAACUGAAGUACAGCAGUCGCUGUGCUCCGCUGAGCUCCACUUCUCACGUGAAAAUGAAGAUAAUGAUUUACUUGCAGCCCCGGAGGACCUGCUCUGCUAAUGAAAGGCAGGGAUUACAAGGACUUUUGUACCUAGAAAGAUUGAGAGGUAGAUGAUGCAGUUGGCCGCACGCCAGCUCUGUGGUCCAAAGGAUUCGGUGAAGGCAGCGGCAGAUGAAGCUUUCUGUUCUAGGAAAGCACACAAAGGCUGCCGGGCUGUAAUCAGAGAAGCCUUGCUUUUCGAUGAACAGAGGUGAAUGCACAGACACAGGGCUGCACAGGAUCCCGAGAGUGAGUGACUGACAGCGGAUGGGUCGGCCCUAGACAAGACAUUUCCACCAACCUCUUACGGCCCAGAGACCGAACUCUCUUAGUAGAACGGAAAGUUUGGCUUAAGAGCUUGACUUACUCAUAGUCCACUGAAUUCAUGGACACUGAAUUUCCUUUUAGUGAUGUAAUGAACUAUUUGACAGGAUCACAUUAAAAAAUGGCAUCAGUUCUGGGAACCAAGUGCUUCUUGCUCUAAAACACAUCUAAGAAUAAUCCACAGAGAUACUUGAAAUAGGUCUAUUCUUUUAAAAAAAAAAAUCUAAUUUGGACAUC
ensembl:lincRNA uncharacterized LOC110330269